rnacentral:rRNA from 1 species
UACGUAGGGGGCAAGCGUUAUCCGGAAUUACUGGGUGUAAAGGGAGCGUAGACGGUUAAGUAAGUCUGGAGUGAAAGGCCGGGGCCCAACCCCGGGACUGCUCUGGAAACUAUUGAACUUGAGUGCAGGAGAGGUAAGCGGAAUUCCUAGUGUAGCGGUGAAAUGCGUAGAUAUUAGGAGGAACACCAGUGGCGAAGGCGGCUUACUGGACCAUUAUUGACGCUGAGGAACGAAAGCCAGGGGAGCAAAUGGG